GAGAAAGAUUGCAAGAACUGCUAACUCAUGCUACCAUAUCUAAAAAUAUGGCUUUCUUA
rnacentral:tRNA from 7 species